rnacentral:pre_miRNA from 1 species
CAAUAUUUGAACAUUGAUUACGUGUCAAUCUGUGAUUGGUCGUAAAUUUAAAUACUGUUAUGUAGUAAUUUACGACCAAUCACAGAUUGACACGUAAUCAAUAUUA